AUCCGAAAACACCGGUUCUCGUUCAUCACCGAAGUUAAGCAUCGUAGAGCCAGGUCAGUACUUAGAUGGGGGACCGCUUGGGAACACCUGGUACUGUAAG
rnacentral:rRNA from 1 species